AGUUGGGCUCACUCCUCCGGUUCCGGAGCGUUGGCAGGCCGCGAUCGUCCCGGAGAAGUGAGUGUGAUGGAACUGAUGUUUGCCGAAUGGGAGGACGGCGAGCGGUUUUCCUUCGAAGACUCGGACCGGUUCGAGGAGGACUCUCUGUGCUCCUUCAUCUCUGAGGCGGAGAGCCUCUGCCAGAACUGGAGGGGAUGGAGGAAGCAGUCCGCCGGACCGAACUCCCCCACGGUCAAAAUCAAAGAGGGUCAGGUCAUCCCCCUGGUGGAGCUGUCAGCCAAGCAGGUGGCAUUCCACAUUCCAUUUGAAGUGGUUGAGAAGGUGUAUCCCCCCGUUCCAGAGCAGCUGCAGCUCAGGAUCGCUUUCUGGAGCUUCCCAGAGAACGAGGAGGACAUCAGGUUGUAUUCCUGUCUGGCUAACGGUAGUCCAGAUGAGUUCCAGCGAGGUGAGCAGCUCUACAGGAUCCGAGCCGUCAAAGACCCUCUGCAGAUAGGCUUCCACCUCAGCGCCACUGUGGUGUCCAGUCAGUCCGGGCAGUCCAAAGGAGCUUACAAUGUGGCAGUCAUGUUUGACCGCUGCCGCAUCACUUCCUGUAGCUGCACCUGUGGUGCUGGGGCGAAGUGGUGUGCUCAUGUGGUGGCUCUAUGCCUCUUCAGGAUUCACAAUGCCUCUGCAGUCUGUCUGAGGGCUCCGGUCUCGGAGUCUCUGUCGCGGCUUCAGCGGGACCAGCUCCAAAAGUUUGCCCAGUACCUCAUAAGUGAAUUGCCUCAGCAGAUCCUGCCCACGGCCCAGCGGCUGCUGGAUGAGCUGCUGUCCUCUCAGUCCACUGCCAUCAACACAGUGUGUGGAGCUCCAGACCCGACUGCAGGCCCGUCAGCCCUGGACCAGAGCACCUGGUAUUUGGACGAGUCCACUCUGAGUGACAACAUUAAGAAAACGCUGCACAAGUUCUGUGGACCUUCACCUGUUGUUUUCAGUGACGUGAACUCCAUGUACCUGUCAUCCACGGAGCCCCCCGCUGCAGCUGAGUGGGCCUGUUUGCUGCGACCCCUCCGAGGUAGAGAGCCUGAGGGCAUCUGGAAUCUUCUGUCUAUCGUCAGGGAGAUGUUCAAGAGGCGAGACAGCAAUGCUGCUCCACUGCUGGAGAUCCUCACUGAACAGUGCCUCAACUAUGAACAGAUCAUCAGCUGGUGGUACAGUGUCCGGACUUCAGCCUCGCACAGCAGCGCCAGCGGCCACACAGGACGCAGCAACGGGCAGUCGGAGGUGGCGGCACACGCCUGUGCCAGUAUGUGUGACGAGAUGGUGGUCCUCUGGAGAUUGGCGGUCCUGGACCCGACCAUGAGCCCCUGCAGACGCUUGGAAAUGGCCAACCAGCUGAAGCAGUGGCACUUGAAGGUGAUAGAAAUCGUCAAACGGGGACAACAUCGCAAGUCUCUGGAUAAACUGUUCCAGGGUUUCAAGCCUGCCGUCGAGUCUUGCUAUUUCAACUGGGAGGUGGCGUAUCCACUUGAAAGUAUUACCUACAGCAGCACAGACAAGAAGAGCGCAACGUUCUGCUGGCCCAGGGCAGCACAGCUGCACAGAGGGGUCAAGACUGCUGCAUCCGCUGGGGGGGAGCUCUUUGAGGGCUGCAGAGUUGAGGCCACUGCUGGGGGCGACUACAAAGAAAGAGGGGGUCACCUGUCGCAGCAGGAGAUGGCAGUGCGACCAAAGGAGACCAUUCUCUCCAAGAGGAAAGGUCUGUCCCUGAGUGGAGGGGGAGGCAUGCUCGUUCGACUCGGAGGAAACGUCUCGCUGUCCCUGGAGGAUAAUGGAGGAAAGUGCUUGUAUAAAGGUCCAGGAUCCUCUGGAGGGAAGCUGAAACUGGCACAGGGAGGUGGGAAGGGGAUGUCCACAGCAGCUGCUGGAGGAACUGGAGCUCUGGGAGGGAGCAAGCACACAUGUGCUAAGAGGAGAACUAGCAGCGAGGACAGCUCUCUGGAGCCAGACCUCGCUGAGCUGAGCUUGGACGAUGGCUGCAGUCUCGCUCUGGGGGCUGAGGCCAGCAACACCUUUGAGUUUUUGCCCCCUCCCUCAGAGAUACUGUCCCCUCCAAGCCCUUUGCUGCGAGACUCUGCUAAAUGCAGCGACAGCAGUGCAGUCAGCAAAGGUUUUGAGGCCAACCAUGUGGGCAGCUCUUCUGCACAGCCUCCACCGUGCUUCAUCUCCAAAGACUCUGCAGCAGCUGCUGUGGAUGAGCUCAGCUCUGCUGCAAAAGAAGCAGAAGGGAAACUGGAACUAGUUCAGCACAGAGAAGAGAGUGUGGACGUGGUUGAUGGCCACCAACCAUCCACCUUCAGAGCAACAGCAAGGCCUGGUACUGCUCAGACUUCGUCUGAAACACCGAGGGGCCAGAAGGAGGCAACAUCUGCUGGAAUGGCUGCUAACCAAGGAGCUGAGGGGGGAGCUUUGGAGCAUGAAGCAGCAGCAGAGGACGACUAUCAGGCUUACUUUCUAAGUACUGCAUCCGAGGAAGGUGCUGACAGACAACUGGUUGAUAGUCACCAGGAGGAGGAGCCAGAUAUCUUUGCAGGGAUCAAACCGCUGGAGCAAGAGGGACAAAUGGAGGUACUGUUUGCGUGCGCCGAAGCCCUCCACGCUCACGGCUACAGUAACGAGGCUUGCCGGCUGGCCGUGGAGCUCGCCACAGACCUUCUAGCCAAUCCUCCUGACCUAAAGGUGGAGCAGCCGCAGACCAAGGGCAAGAAGUGCAAGGUGUCGACCAGCCGUCAGACGCAGGUAGCCACGAACACGCUCUCCAAAGCUGCCUUCCUGCUCACCGUCCUCAGUGAGAGGACGGAGCUCCACAACCUGGCCUUCAGCACUGGGAUGUUCUCUCUGGAGCUGCAGAGGCCACCAGCAUCCACCAAGGCUCUGGAGGUCAAGCUGGCGUACCAGGAGUCUGAGGUGGUGGCACUGCUAAAAAAGAUCCCUCUGGGCGUGGUGGAGAUGUCCGCCAUCCGGGACCGGGCCGAGCAGCUGCGGGACGGGAACCUCUGCGAUUACAGGCCUGUGCUGCCUCUCAUGCUGGCCAGUUUCAUUUUUGAUGUGCUCUGCACUCCAGUUGUGUCCCCAACGGGCUCCCGUCCACCGAGCCGCAAUCGAAACAACGAGAUGCCUGGAGACGAGGAGCUUGGCUUUGACGCUGCUGUUGCUGCUCUUGGCAUGAAGACCACAGUCAGUGAGGCAGAACACCCCCUGCUCUGUGAGGGAACCCGGCGUGUAAAGGGUGACCUGGCUCUCGCUCUUAUGAUCACGUACAAGGACGACCAGAGCAAGCUGAAGAAGAUUCUGGACAAGCUGCUGGACAGAGAGAGUCAGACCCACAAGCCCCAGACCCUGAGUUCCUUCUACUCCAGCAAACCGGCCGUUGGCAGCCAGCGCAGUCCGUCCAAACACGCAGCCACAAGCCAUGGGGGGGUGGGCGCUGCCACAGGUGGGGUGCCCAGGCAUAGCCAGCCAUCUUCAUCUGUCAGCAGUUUGUCUGCAUCUUCUAGCUCGUGUUCUGCUGCGGUUCUUGCUGGGGAAGAGAUCCCUUCUCAGACCGAGCUCAGAGUGGUCCAAACCAGUACAGCUGGAGAGGAUGCUGCUGAGACCCGGGACCGAGUUUCAGAUGGGCCUCAGACUUCAGCCGAGCUGCAAACUGAGACUCCCUCAUUUAAGCUGGAGGCCACAGUCCCCAGUCGGCUGGCUUUGGGGGGGCGCUGUGGGUACAGCCAGCGCUGCUGGGGCUCCCCUGUGCGGCAGAAAAAGAAGCACACUGGCAUGGCCAGUAUAGACAGCAGCGCUCCAGAGACCACCUCCGACAGCUCUCCCACCCUUAGCCGACGCCCCUUGAGGGGGGGCUGGCCAGCAGCAUCCUGGGGGCGGGGCCAGGACAGUGACAGCAUCAGCAGUUCGUCGUCUGAUUCAUUGGGCUCCUCCUCCUCUAGCGGAUCUCGCAGGGCAGGGGGGGGUGCCAGGGCUAAGAGUGCCGACACCAGCAGGUACAAAGGUCGGCGCCCGGAAUGCCACGCCCCCCACGUCCCCAAUCAGCCAUCGGAGGCGGCGGCUCAUUUUUACUUUGAGUUGGCGAAGACGGUGCUUAUCAAAGCUGGAGGAAACUCGUCCACGUCCAUCUUCACUCAGCCGUCAGCCAGUGGGGGGCACCAGGGGCCUCACAGAAACCUGCACCUGUGUGCCUUUGAGAUUGGACUGUACGCCCUCGGCCUCCACAACUUUGUGUCACCAAACUGGCUGUCCAGAACCUACUCGUCCCACGUGUCGUGGAUCACUGGCCAAGCCAUGGAGAUAGGGAGUGCUGCUCUCAACAUUCUGGUUGAAUGCUGGGACGGACACCUCACCCCGCCAGAGGUGGCGUCUCUUGCAGAUCGAGCGUCCCGAGCCAGGGACCCUAACAUGGUUCGGGCUGCGGCAGAGCUGGCUCUCAGCUGUCUCCCUCACGCCCACGCCUUGAACCCAAAUGAAAUCCAGAGGGCCCUGGUGCAGUGUAAGGAGCAGGACAAUCUGAUGCUAGAGAAGGCCUGUAUGGCAGUGGAGGAAGCAGCAAAAGGUGGGGGGGUAUAUCCUGAGGUUCUGUUUGAAGUGGCUCAUCAGUGGUACUGGCUCUACGAACAGUCGGUGGGCGGGGGCUCGGGUCAGCAGCGGGAGACCUCAGGGCGCUGCGGAGCGAAUGGUGGGACAGGAAGGAGGCCUCCUGACUCCAGCUGCGGUGUUCUGGAGAGUGGGAGUAAUCCAGAGCCCGGGGGGGUGGCAGUCACAGCCUCCGUCACCGCCACAGCAGUGGUUCCCGUCAUCUCUGUGGGAUCCACCAUUUACCAGCCCCAUGCUCUGCCUGGCCAGGCCUUGACCCACCCUCAUACCCAAGGACUGCAUCCCUACACCACCAUCCAGGCCCACCUACCCACGGUCUGCACCCCUCAGUAUCUAGGACAUCCUCUCCAGCACGUUCAGCGACCGGCCGUCUUCCCCGUCUCUGGGGCUUCAUACGGACAGGGAAUGCACCCGGCCUUCAUCGGAGCCCAGUACCCGUUCUCUGUGGCCACGAGUCCCCAGCAGCCUUUGGCAGCCACAGCCGUCACUUUUCCUGGUGUUCCUGUUCCAUCUAUGACUCAGAUUGCUGUCCACCCCUACCACACAGAAACGGGCCUCCCCCUGACCACGACCGUUGCAGGUCAGAACCGCUCCCUCGUGAGCUGUCGGCUGCAGACUGUUCAGUCUCAGAUUUGCCUCUGUUGUUGUGCAGUUGGUAGCGUUCACUCUGGUCCCUCCAUCCAAGCCAUCCAGGCUGCUUCUCUGCCUGCUGUUGCCCCCCAGCCGUCAUUCGUGAGUGCGUCCUUCCCAGCAGAGGAUGAACAGCACAGCCAGCCCAUCAGCCAGCAGGGCUUCCACUACCUGCACUCUGCAUACAGAGUUGGCAUGCUGGCGCUGGAGAUGCUGGGCAGGAGGGCCCACAACGACCAUCCCAACAACUUCUCCAGGAGCCCCCCUUACACCGAGGAUGUGAAGUGGCUGCUUGGACUUGCAGCCAGGCUGGGAGUAAACUAUGUGUACCAGUUUUGUGUGGGAGCUGCAAAAGGGGUCCUGAGUCCGUUUGUCCUGCAAGAGAUCAUCAUGGAGGCUCUGCAAAGACUGAACCCCGCCCACAUCCAUGCACACCUUCGCACCCCUGCCUUUCACCAGCUCGUCCAGCGCUGCCAGCAGGCCUACCUGCAGUACAUCCACCACCGCCUCAUCCACCUGACUCCCGCCGACUAUGACGACUUUGUCAACAUAAUCCGCAGUGCUCGGGGGGCCUUCUGCCUGACCCCCGUGGGCGUGAUGCAGUUCAAUGACGUGUUGCAGAACCUGAAGAGAGGCAAGCAGACUAAGGAGCUGUGGCAGCGCAUCUCCCUGGAGAUGGCCACGUUCUCCCCCUGAGCGCUGCGCCGGCACUCGUGGGACCACUCCUGUGUGGUCAGAGGGAGGGGUCGGCCCUGGUUCCUGGACUGCCAAGAUCUUAGUGUGACCACGUCCUCAUUGUUGUCGACCCGUCCACUGUCUUCAUACCCUCACAUCAGUCUAGUGUGCAGUCUGUGCUGCAACAUUCCAGUCCAGAAUGAUGGAGGGGGGCUUCAGUAUUGGUGUAUUUCUAUGACAUCAUAAGCGAAACUUCCCUCCUGUGAAGCAGCAUCAUCCUGCAGGCUUGUCCUCUUUAGUAGCGCCGAGAACAAAGCAGGUCCAUGUUUUUAUGGAAAGCUAGCUCCUGUUAGGAGUAACAGGAAGAAGCAGCCUCUCCACCAUUCCCAGACUACAUUUGAUCUGUAAAUUCAAGCUCUGUCUUCAGGUACCAAGGAGUUCCUGUGCGGAUUUGGUAUUGUCAGUUCUGGAUUUACUGGUGGAACAAAGUUCUGCACUCCUGAACAGUCUGCUGUUGCCCCAAACCAAAGACAAUAUUCCAAACAUUACUGGAGGAGUUCUCGAAGCAUCAACCGCUCCUCCAGCUGUCUUCUUUGCGUUCCUCCGGCUGUUCCUCCUCUUGCUAUUCCCAAGCAUUCUCCGAGUUUCCCCCUGCGCAGUCACAUGAUCCGCAGCGCCGAGCCCAACCCAUGGCAGACAAAGCUGUGCUUUUAAAUGUGGUGCUUUGACUUUUCGAAAUCUUGACAAGUUCACUCUGUCCAGGCAGCUGCUGUGGUUCUGAAUCGGCCCAUUUGGUUGUGGACCCUACAGAGAGUAGCUGGACUGAAGCAGUCUGUGUGUAUUUGAUGUAGAAGAAGACGCGUAGGCUGGGAGGAAGAAGGUGAAGCAAUACUAAAGUUUAGAGUUUACUUAAUAAAGAGCUGUGAAAACACUACAGCAGCUUGCUGGUUUCAUUUCUGAUUUUGGUCUGCAUGUUGUGGUGGUAAGAGCCAGCAGUCCAGUCCACUGAUGUUGCUGCUUCCACUGCUGCUCUCAUAUCUCCUCACCUGGUUGAUUGACAAGACAGACUCAUGAGAAAUGACACCACCGCAUUCUUAUUUAAACUUGAGUCAAUGCUGUCAGCCCUUCUGUCCCACAUACAUCAUUCUAGUUUCAGUGGCAAUGAAGGAGGCAAGCAGCCGCUCCUGAGAGGAUUGGAUUCUCUGCUCAACCUGGGGUCUUACUGUGAUGACCCUCCUCGAUACAUCAGUUAUAGAGCAGGAAGCCAUCACAAGACACUGCUCAACCUGCUGCAGGUAAAACUUCUUCCUACCUUUAAAAAAAAAAAAAAAAAA